UAUUACUUUUAGCUUUUGUUCUCAGACAAAAUUGGAUACAGAGAAGAUUAGCAUGGCCCCUGCGCAAGGAUGACGUGCAAAUUUGUGAAGCAUUCCAAAUUGUC
rnacentral:snRNA from 1 species